UAUCAUUCUGUGAAAGUUCAGCCAAUGUAACAGUCCUUGCCACAACUUUUGGGAAUAAGAACAUUCAAAAUACAAAUGGUCAUGUGUCUCUACAAUGUCUCUCCCACAUAGUAUGCAUGACUGAUCAGUGUGAAUGCCCCAUUUUGCUAACCUGUCAGUUGUUGCCAAUCGUCUAUGCAUUGCCAUCCAUAAUAUGAACUUCUGUUUUGGCAACAACCCAGACACCAUCACUAGUUUUUUCCAAUGAAC
rnacentral:lncRNA from 1 species